GAGUUUUUGAGGACUUACCUGAAUCUUCCAUCAGAAAUUGUUCCUGCUACCUUGAAGAAACAGGCAAAGCCUGCUGGUGGUCGCCCGUUUGGUGGUCCACCUGGUGACCGGCCCCGGUAAUUUUAAUUUAUGUUGACAAUUUCGUGAUUUGAGUGUUCUCAUCAUCCUUGAUUUUUUAGAAUAAACUAAUUUGCAUGAGCUGUUUGUUUGGAUUUCUAGAGGUCCACCUCGCUUUGAGGGAGACCGUCCAAGAUUUGGUGACCGCGAUGGUUAUCGUGGGGGCCCACGAGGGGGUGAAGGUGGUGAGAAGGGAGGAGCACCGGCAGAUUACCAGCCUGCAUUUAGGGUAAUUUCACUUUAAUACAAUUACCCUAAAUGUUAAUACCCAUUAGGGACAACUGCCACAAUGUGUUCUUGUAUAUUUACUUCUAAUUCCAUUCCAUGUUUGGAUCUUCCAGGG
rnacentral:lncRNA from 1 species